GGGGGGACGCAGUAGGAUAGGCGAAGCGUGCGAUUGGAUUGCACGUCUAAGCAGUAAGGCUGAGUAUUAGGCAAAUCCGGUACUCGUUAAGGCUGAGCUGUGAUGGGGAGAAGACAUUGAGUCUUCGAGUCGUUGAUUUCACACUGCCGAGAAAAGCCUCUAGAUAGAAAAUAGGUGCCCGUACCGCAAACCGACACAGGUAGUCAAGAUGAGAAUUCUAAGGUGAGCGAGCGAACUCUCGUUAAGGAACUCGGCAAAAUGACCCCGUAACUUCGGGAGAAGGGGUGCUCUUUAGGGUUAACGCCCAGAAGAGCCGCAGUGAAUAGGCCCAAGCGACUGUUUAUCAAAAACACAGGUCUCUGCUAAACCGUAAGGUGAUGUAUAGGGGCUGACGCCUGCCCGGUGCUGGAAGGUUAAGAGGAGUGGUUAGCUUCUGCGAAGCUACGAAUCGAAGCCCCAGUAAACGGCGGCCGUAACUAUAACGGUCCUAAGGUAGCGAAAUUCCUUGUCGGGUAAGUUCCGACCCGCACGAAAGGCGUAACGAUUUGGGCACUGUCUCAACGAGAGACUCGGUGAAAUCAUAGUACCUGUGAAGAUGCAGGUUACCCGCGACAGGACGGAAAGACCCCGUGGAGCUUUACUGUAGCCUGAUAUUGAAAUUCGGCACAGCUUGUACAGGAUAGGUAGGAGCCUUUGAAACGUGAGCGCUAGCUUACGUGGAGGCGCUGGUGGGAUACUACCCUAGCUGUGUUGGCUUUCUAACCCGCACCACUUAUCGUGGUGGGAGACAGUGUCAGGCGGGCAGUUUGACUGGGGCGGUCGCCUCCUAAAAGGUAACGGAGGCGCUCAAAGGUUCCCUCAGAAUGGUUGGAAAUCAUUCAUAGAGUGUAAAGGCAUAAGGGAGCUUGACUGCGAGACCUACAAGUCGAGCAGGGUCGAAAGACGGACUUAGUGAUCCGGUGGUUCCGCAUGGAAGGGCCAUCGCUCAACGGAUAAAAGCUACCCCGGGGAUAACAGGCUUAUCUCCCCCAAGAGUUCACAUCGACGGGGAGGUUUGGCACCUCGAUGUCGGCUCAUCGCAUCCUGGGGCUGUAGUCGGUCCCAAGGGUUGGGCUGUUCGCCCAUUAAAGCGGUACGCGAGCUGGGUUCAGAACGUCGUGAGACAGUUCGGUCCCUAUCCGUCGUGGGCGUAGGAAAUUUGAGAGGAGCUGUCCUUAGUACGAGAGGACCGGGAUGGACAUACCUCUGGUGUACCAGUUGUCGUGCCAACGGCAUAGCUGGGUAGCUAUGUGUGGACGGGAUAAGUGCUGAAAGCAUCUAAGCAUGAAGCCCCCCUCAAGAUGAGAUUUCCCAACUUCGGUUAUAAGAUCCCUCAAAGAUGAUGAGGUUAAUAGGUUCGAGGUGGAAGCAUGGUGACAUGUGGAGCUGACGAAUACUAAUCGAUCGAAGACUUAAUCAAA
rnacentral:rRNA from 2 species